rnacentral:rRNA from 1 species
GGAGGGAGCGAACGUUGUUCGGAAUUACUGGGCGUAGAGGGCGUGUAGGCUGUUAGGUAAGUCAGGUGUGAAAUGUUACCGCUCAACGGUGAACCUGCAUUUGAUACUGCCUAACUGGAGGUCAGGAGAGGAGAGCGGAAUUCUCAGUGUAGCGGUGGAAUGCGUAGAUAUUGGGAAGAACACCAGUGGCGAAGGCGGCUCUCUGGACUGAUACUGACGCUGAGGCGCGAAAGCUAGGGGGGAGCAAACAGGAUUAGAUACCCUGGUAGUCCUAGCCCGUAAACCGAUGGGCACUAGGUGCUGGGAAUAUCGACGUUUUUCAGCGCCGUAGCUAACGCAUUAAGUGCCCCCGGCCUGGGAGUACGACCGCAAGGUUG